AACGAACGCUGGCGGCAUGCCUAACACAUGCAAGUCGAACGAGACCUUCGGGUCUAGUGGCGCACGGGUGCGUAACGCGUGGGAACCUGCCCUUAGGUUCGGAAUAACUCCCCGAAAGGGGUGCUAAUACCGGAUAAUGUCUUCGGACCAAAGAUUUAUCGCCUUUGGAUGGGCCCGCGUUGGAUUAGCUAGUUGGUAGGGUAAAGGCCUACCAAGGCGACGAUCCAUAGCUGGUCUGAGAGGAUGAUCAGCCACACUGGGACUGAGACACGGCCCAGACUCCUACGGGAGGCAGCAGUGGGGAAUAUUGGACAAUGGGCGAAAGCCUGAUCCAGCAAUGCCGCGUGAGUGAUGAAGGCCUUAGGGUUGUAAAGCUCUUUUACCCGGAAUGAUAAUGACAGUACCGGGAGAAUAAGCUCCGGCUAACUCCGUG
rnacentral:rRNA from 1 species